GACGAACGCUGGCGGCGUGCCUAAUACAUGCAAGUAGAACGCAGUUGCGAACGGGUGAGUAACGCGUAGGUAACUGCCUCAUAGCGGGGGAUAACUAUUGGAAACGAUAGCUAAUACCGCAUACUGUGAGAUGGACCUGCGUUGUAUUAGCUAGUUGGUGAGGUAAAGGCUCACCAAGGCGACGUUACAUAGCCGACCUGGGAGGGAGAACGACCACACGGGGAAUGGAGACCGUCCCCAACUCCUACGGGAGGCAGCAGUGGGGAAACAUCGACAAUGGACGGAAGUAUGACCGAGCCACGCCGCGUGAGUGAAGAAGGUUUUCGGGUCGUAAAACUCUGUUGUUAGAGAAGCGGUAACUAACGAAAAAGGGACGGCUAACUACGUGCCAGCAGCCGCGGUAAUAC
rnacentral:rRNA from 1 species